rnacentral:misc_RNA from 1 species
UGGUUCUGGCAUCGAUGAAGAACGCAGCGAAAUGCGAUAAGUAAUGUGAAUUGCAGAAUUUAGUGAAUCAUCGAAUCUUUGAACGCACAUUGCGCCCUUUGGUAUUCCGAAGGGCACAUCUGUUCGAGCGUCAUUACACCUUCUCAAGCCUAGCUUGGAAUUGAGCAAAGUUUAUGAAAUAUUAAACUUGCUUCAAACAUCUCAGCGGUACCUUCUUGGUCUCAAGCGUAGUUGAUUAUUUUUCGUUUGUCAGAUUGAGAUUGGCACCUGCUCUUAUUCUAUUUCUUUAGGUUGACCUCGGAUCAGAUGGGAGUACCCGCUGA